AGCUUUGCACAGUGGCAGUUUCAUAGCCAAUGAGGUUUAUCCAAGGUGAUUAUUGCUGAUUAAAAAACUUUCCCAAUACCCACCGUGACAACUUCCAAUAUAGUUAGCAUUGGCAAUUUUUAACAAUCUCAACAGAGG
rnacentral:snRNA from 1 species